GCUUCUUAAAAUCUUAACAAAACUUCCUGGGAAAGUACCAGCGGAGUGUACGUUCUCGUAAGUCGUAGGAAGGGGUUUCUUUUGGUCUCUCUUCUGUCUUCUCACCCUCGUUUGAUGAACUUGCUUAAUUCAUUAGACUUCUUCUUCUCAGUUCUCACCCUCAUUUGGUGGACUCGCAGUCUCGCAUAGAGAAAGUGCGAAGAGAAAGUUCAUUAGACUUCUUCUUCUCAGUUCUCACCCUCAUUUGGUGGACUCGCAUAGAAAAAGUGCGAAGAGAAAGAGCUAGGAUUUAGACUGAUACUUUUGAGAAGAAACAAGAAUUUGAUUUUGAUUCGAGUAAAAUUAGGUCUAGGAUUCGGUUGCAUAAAGGUAGAACGAAGCCAAUUGAUGUUCUUACUUACUAUUGCGGCGUAUCGGAUUAAUUUGAUAUGGAAUUGGAUGAACCUCGCAUGUUUUUAAAGCUGCUGACAAAACGCAUCAAUCCAUGGAUCUAUGCUGCUGGUAGUUUAUGGAUGUAUCUUAAGGAAGUUUGAUUACCUUGAUUUCUUAAAUUUGGUGGAAUUAAUUGCCAAAAGUGGAAGUUUGCUUUGAGAAUAAAAAAGUUCCAUGACUUAACAUUAGUGUAGGAUUGAUUUGCCGGUAUAUUAUAUUAGUUAAUUUUAGUUUAGGUAGAAAAUUCUUUAUUUUAAGUCUUUUUAUAUCUAGGGAUUAUGUUAGUUGAAUAACCCUAUAUAAAGGGUCCAAUUCCAUUGUCACUUCCAAAUCAAACUUCACUAAGGUUUUAUCUUUCUCCUUAUCUAUGGAUUCUCAGUCCGGUGUCAACACUUCCUCAUUCGCUUGGACUGCAGGGGUUUGAUAGUAAAUAUACUACGUAAAUAAAUUUCUUAAGUCAAGCUUCCUAAGCUGUGUAUAUCUAGGUAUCUUUAGCAUACUUUCCUUCUAUACCUGGUUUCUAUGAACUUUGUUAUGUAAUGUGAAUACAGCAUGAAGCCAUGAACCCUCUUUAGGGAUUCAAUCAUACUCUAGCAACAACGGCAAAAUAGAAAGGAUAUCUCAAAAAAAAAUAUCCAUGGAAGAACACAUUAAUACAGCCUCAACUAAUUGACCCUUCAUCAUAUGUAAAAAAGCACAAAAAAAUUAUCCUCGCUUUCCCCUUUUGCUUAGUUCAAUUAAUCAAAAUAUUCUUGAUCAUCUUCAGCAAGUACCAUCCUACUUAGAGGACUUGGUCCAAGCUUUUUCCUCCUCAAAGCAGCUCUUUUUCUUAUAAUCUCCAUCUCAUUCCUCCUCCUAACUUGCAUCAUUGCUUCUUCUUCCACCACAAAACGCCUCAUUAAAACGUCAUCAGUCAAUGAUUUUCCUCGAAAGACUCUUCUUCCCUCGGUGCUAUGCCUGCCACUUGGAAUUCGCCAUUCUUGUGGCGUAGGGGCUGCUGUAGGAGGUGGUGGGGUGAAGGGUUUUGACCGCGGAUAAGUAUAGCUUCUCCUAGGAGGAACAUCAGCACUGAAAACUUCAUUGUAGGAGGAAAUAGGAGCACAUAAGCAUACUCUUGUGAAAGAAGUGGCAACUCUUAGUGAGGUACUCUUUUUGAGUUUUUGUUUGCUAGAAUUUGUUGUUGGUUGGACUUCUGUGGUUUUAAUGGUUUUCCAUAGAGCAGAAUUUGCAGUUGAUGGUGAUUUUACAAUAAUCUUCCAUAGGGUUGUCAUCUCUAUUGCUCUUUGAUACCAAGGCUUCCUGGAAAUGGAUAGAAACAAUGUAAGAAAAAUAUAAAAAGGAGUGAUAGAGUGGAUAUUUGAGUGAACAUCACAUUUCUUUACACCAUUCAAAAAUUCAAAGAUUUUCCUGAUAAACUUCCUCCAUCUUUUUUUAUUGGAACAAUUGAUUUUUCACGCUUGUCAAUGCACAACUUUUACUAUUAAUAUCUUUAAUUACUUUUUAGUAAAAAAUAUACAAAUUUGAUACUUUGAAAGUAUAUAUAUUUAUCAAGACGAAUCUAACUUGACCUCACAUGACUAUAUUUUUCCUUGCAUACAAAUCACAAUAGAUAGUGAAAUGUUGGUGUGUGAAUAGUGUAAAAAUCUCAUUGUUGCAAUAGGAAACGAACGGAGGUAGUAUAAGUUUAUUGGCUUAUUGCACCAAGGGGCUACCAACCAAAUACCAAUAGCAGUGAACUGGAAAGUGGAAAGGAAGAGUAAGAAGAAACAGAAGUCUUGCCAAAUUCAUACCCUUUAAUUCUUUUGUCAUGAAUUCUUGAACAAUUUAAGAUGAUGUAUUGAAAUCAGGGACGGAGCUACACAGUAACAAGGGGUAGAACAUGCUACCUCUAUUUUAAUUGAUUUUUUCUUUUUAAAAAAAAAAAGGAAAAACAAAGAGAGAGAAAUGAAUGUGCCGGUGAUAGCGUGAAGCCCUCGAGUUCGAAUCUAAACGAAGCUGGAUUCUUGAUUCGUUGAUGUCAGCUGAAGAGAGAGGAGGUAUUGAAGCGGGAUUUAGACUUCGUUGACGUUCGCCGACGUUCGUGGAUGACGAGCGACAGCGUGGCGUGGUCGGCAUUGUGCAAGGGCAUGGAUUUCAAAUUUCUCUCCCCUGGCACCAAAAAUGAUGACCAGUAGUACCCUACACUAGAAACAAGAGAAAGGAGAGUGGAGACUGUGGAAGAACGAGGGAAGCGGUGUUGGGGGAGGAGAAGAGAGAAAAGAGGGGUGAACACUCCUAAUGGGUCAGCGUGGCUGCGUUGCCGACCGACCCAUGUUGUAUUGGUUUGCCUUUCUAAAUGGCCCAAGAAAUGCUAAUGGAACUAAAUUCUUCAUAAUAUUGACAUGAGGUUCUUGUUAGAGAGAGUAAUCAAUUAAUCAUGUCCUUUUUCACUUGUGAAUUCCUUUUUUAUUUAUAUGAAUUCAAAUCCAAUUCUUCCUUCGACUCAAACUAAGCAAAAAAAAAGUCUAAUAUAUUGAGAACGAUUUGUUUUUAGAGGUAAAAUUUGAUGCGCUUGUAAAUUAGUUCCAACAUUUGAAAACUUGCCCGAGACAAUUGUAAUCUUCUUUUAUUAAUAUACAUGGAGGUUGUAUUUGGAUUUUAUAA